UACGUAGGGUGCGAGCGUUAAUCGGAAUUACUGGGCGUAAAGCGUGCGCAGGCGGUGAUGUAAGACAGGUGUGAAAUCCCCGGGCUUAACCUGGGAACUGCACUUGUGACUGCACGGCUGGAGUGCGGCAGAGGGGGAUGGAAUUCCGCGUGUAGCAGUGAAAUGCGUAGAUAUGCGGAGGAACACCGAUGGCGAAGGCAAUCCCCUGGGCCUGCACUGACGCUCAUGCACGAAAGCGUGGGGAGCAAACAGG
rnacentral:rRNA from 1 species